GGGCGGGUAGCUCAGCGGCUAGAGCACUCGCUUUACACGCGAGGGGUCCAGGGUUCGAAUCCCUGCCUGCCCA
rnacentral:tRNA from 1 species